ensembl:lncRNA
AAAUCAGACUGGUUGGGAAGUGUUCUAACCACAUUAUUUAUUUGUCUAGAAAGACGUAUAAUAACUUAGUACGAAGGAAAGGAGUCUAAUAACUUGGUACGAAGGAAAGGAGUCGAAUAACUUGGUACGAAGGAAAGGAGUCUAAUAACUUGGUACGAAGGAAAGGAGUCUAAUAACUUGGUACGAAGGAAAGGAGUCUAAUAACUUGGUACGAAGGAAAGGAGUCGAAUAACUUGGUAAGCAAGACUUCCCAUUGGGGCUCACAGAUUACUCCAUUGCUUUAACCUGGACAAAUUACCUGGACAAUCACCACCUAACCUAUCAACGGGAUUGAGGGGCAAAGAGGAGGGGUAUAAGAAGAGGAAGCUGUAGAAUUACUGGGUGCCCGGUGGGGACCGCGAAACGGUGACGGACGGACGGACGGACAAACGAACGAACGAACGAACGAACCGAAUUGGGCUGCAACUAGAA